rnacentral:lncRNA from 1 species
UACCAGAUUUGUUAGGGAAUUCGUACCCCAACACCGAAAGCACAUCAAGCACAACACAAUAUUAAAGUGCAAGAAAAUAAAAGAACACAAGAAUGGUCACCCAGUUUGGCCUAAUCUGGGGGGCUCAGGUCAGCCCAUUCCACUAGUGCAAAAAACCACCUCCCAGAGCGAGUUCAAUACAACCAAACACUUCACCUUACCCGAUUGAUCAUCGAUCUACAAGAUCUCACAAAGAAUCUGGGCUUUCUACACAACAUAUUAAUCUGACCGAAAAAUAUAUUCCUACAGCAUACAACCACACAACCGGAAUAACCUAUGGUUACUGUAGCUUACAAAAUCAACAAGAUUUUAUCAUCAAAAAUACACUUCUAUCACAGAAGGAAUUUUGAUUAGAAGAAGAAACCAAGAUGAAGAUUUCUUGAAGUUUUAGAGAGAGAGAAAAUGUGACUGAAACAAAACUCCAAAAUGCAGCCAGUGAAGUGACCCGUUUUCAACCAAAAACGUGACUUGAAGAGUCACUUUUAAUUCAAAGUAAGAUCUCAACCAUUGGUUUAAUCCAAUGGCCCUUAUAGUUUCCAAAUAAACACAGAUCCGGGUCACGUCCAAUGCUCCAAUCAGUAGCUGCCAUUUGAAGUCUUAACAAAUUUCCGAAAAUACCCUCAAUUUAAAACACAACUUUAAAAACACGUUUUUCUCCUUUCAAUCUUCACCUUGUUUCUCAAGUUGUACACUCCCUCUCAGUUGCGGAAUUUUGCACUUAUAGUGGAAAGGCUGAACAACAUCAUUGCCUUAGAUACCUGCAAAGAAAAAUUACCCAGUAUCAAUGUUGAGAAGUGACAAACACAUUCUAAACUUAUUCACAGGCAGAAUUUUUGUGCCCAUAUCAGAUGGGUUAAUGUCAGUAUGAAUUUUCUCUAACAUCAUUUCACCUAAAGAUAGUUUCUCUCUUAUGAAAUGAUAUUUCACCUCAAUAUGCUUGGACCUUUCAUGAUAGACAGGGUUCUUACUUAACAAUAAUGCACUCUAACUAUCAGUAAGAAUAACGGGUGAUGAAAAAAGAAAAUUCAGUUCACUUAAAAUUCCUUUCAGCCAUAUACAUUCUUUAACACAUUCAGUAAUUGCCACAUAUUCAGCUUCAGUACUGGAUAAAGUGACAAUUGGUUGAAGUUGAGACUUCCAUGUGAUACAAUUAUCACCAAGUGUAAAGAAAAAAGCUGUGGUAGAUUUUCUUUGAUCCUUGUCUCCAGCAAAAUCAGAAUCCACGUACCCUUUAAGGGUUAAUGGUUCUAAUCCCUUUUUGUACACUAAUCCUACACUUAGUGUCCCAGCUAUAUACCGUAAUAGCCAUUUUAAGCCAGCCCAAUGUGGUUUCCCCGGGUUUGCCAUAAACCUACUUAAAAAACUGAUUAAAUAUGCUAGAUCAGGUCGUGUUGUUAUCAUAGAACACAUUACUGAUCCUAUUGCAUUGGAGUAAGGGAUAUUUUCCAUGUCUUUGGCCUCAGAUUCAAUUUCAGGACAUUGGGCUGAGGAGAGAUUCAUGUGAGCAGCAAGUGGAACAUUAACAGACUUAGCUUCUUUCAUGCCAAACUUAGAUACAACUUUAUGUAGGUAAGACUCUUGGGUUAUUAUUAACCUGCCUUCUUGUCUAUUCCUAGUUAUCACCAUUCCCAGUAUUUUCUUGGCAUUCCCUAAGUCUUUCAUGUCAAAUUCAGAUUUUAGGAGGUUCUUCAUUAUUUUUAUUUCAGCCUUGCUUGAAAUGGCCAGCAGCAUAUCAUCUACAUACAAGAGUAGAUAUAUCUCGCUGCCAGGUUUGGAGUUAUAGUAAUAUAAGCAAUGAUCAUACUCACUUCUCCUAAAAUCAAUUUUCACAACAUAUGUGUCAAACCGAACGUACCACUGUCUUGGACUUUGUUUGAGUCCAUACAGUGAUUUCUGCAAUUUACAAACAUGAUCAGAUUUCUCCUUUUCCUCAAAACCUUGAGGUUGACACAUAUAGAUGUCCUCAUCCAAUUUCCCAUGCAAGAAGGCUGUUUUGACAUCUAAUUGUUCAAGUUCCCAAUUAAACUGAACAACUAGGGCAAGUAUUAGCCUUAUUGUCUUAUAUUUGAUUACAGGUGAAAAAAUUUUAUUGUAAUCAAUUCCCUCCCUUUGGGUGAACCAUUUGGCCACUAAUCUUGCCUUAUACCUCAAAGGGUCAUUGGGGGACAUGCCUUCUUUUAGUUUGUAAAUCCACUUGCAUUGAACCACUCUCUGAUUUUUAGGUUUCUUCACAAGUUUCCAUGUUUUAUUAUCAAUCAGGGAUUUCAUUUCUUCCCUCAUGACAUCUUUCCAAUUCUGAGAUUUAGAACAACUUAUAGCUUCAUCAUAAGUAUAAGGUUCAGCAUGUUCUAAGUUCUCACCAGUGAUAAGGGCAAAGGCUGUCAGAUUAUUAGUCUCAUAUCUUGGAUUAGGUUUAAUCUGUCUCCUUUCCCUAUCUCUCACUAAUUGAUAAUCUUGGGUACUAGUUUCAUUUUCAGGUGUCACAAUUUCAGUUUCAGUUUGGGCUGUUAUAACUUCACCUUCAUUUGUGUUGUCUGAUCUUACAUUUGGCUGUUCAUUUUCAAGUUCAAUUAUCUCAAUAGAAUUGUGACCCAAUCUUGCCAACUUCACCUCAUUCUGUGAAGUACUAUUUUCAAUUGCAUCAUGUUUAUCCCUUUUACUUUUUAAGCAUGGCAUCUCAGAUUCAUUAAGCACCACAUUUCUACUGUUAAUGAUCUUAAUGCCUUUCUCACCUAGUACCCAUAACCUGUACCCUUUAACUCCUUCAGGGUACCCCAACAUGACACAUUUGGUGGCUCUAGGAUCUAAUUUGCCUCCAACUUGAUGUGCAUAUGCAGCGCAUCCGAAGACCCUAAUAUUAGAUAGAUUAGGUGUUUUUCCAAUCCACAAUUCCUGAGGGGUCUUGAACUUUACAGAACUGCAUGGUGACCUAUUAAUUAGAUAGGCUGUAGUGCAUAAAGCUUCUGCCCGAAAACCUUUUGCUAGACCAGAACUUAUUAGCAUGCUUCUAACUUUAUUCAUUAGAGUUCUGUUCAUUCUUUCAGCUACCCCAUUCUGUUGGGGUGUGUGCUUAACAGUUCUAUGCCUAAUUAUUUCCUUUUGCCUGCAAAAGUUAUCAAAUUCUGCAUUACAGAAUUCCAACCCAUUAUCUGUCCUUAAGGUUUUUAAUUUUCUGCCCAAUUGAUUUUCAAUCAUCGUUAACCAAAUUCUGAAUUUUUGAAAUAUUUCAGAUUUUGUCUUUAAGGGGUAUGUCUAGACCUUUCUAGAAUAAUCAUCAAUUAUAGAAAGAAAAUAUUUAUUCCCACCAAAGGUUGAGUGGCUUUCUGGACCCCACAAAUCUGAGUGGACAUAAUCUAAAGGUCUAUUUGUAGUGUGUGACCCCGUCUCAAAACUGACUCCAUGAGAUUUUCCAAGUACACACGUCUCACAAGUCAAGGGGCUCUAUAUUAUCUUUUCCAAACAAUUUUUGAUCAUUUAGAUAUUUUAGCCCCUUAUUUCCAAUAUUUCCCAUUCUACAAUGCCACAAUUCAGAUUUACUUUCAGUAAUGGUUAAGGAUUUUGGAUCAUGGGAAUUAACAGUCUUACCCAUUAUGUAGUACAAACCAUUCCUCUUUGGUCCCUUCAUAACUACAAGAGAUCCUUUGAGAAUUUUCAAAAUAUUAUUUUCAGAUUUAAAAGUGUGUCCCUCAUCUUCAAGAAUUCCUAGUGAAAUGAGAUUUCUUUUUAGAUUUGGGACAUGUCUUACAUUUUUAAUCUGCCUGACACUACCAUCAUACAUUUUGAUUGUAAUGUCACCGAUUCCAAGAACAUUUUGUGAAUUAUUAUCACCCAUAUAUACUUUCCUGGGUUCUAUCUCCUUGUAGUUAUGAAACCAAGUUUUAUUUGGGCACAUAUGAAAUGUACAUCCAGAGUCAAGUAUCCAGUCAGUGUCUGUUUCAUCGUUAGACACAGUCAUAACAAGAAGGCUGUCAAGUUCUGAACUUACAGCAGCAUUAUUCAACUCAUUGUUAUUAGGUUCUUUUAACUUCUUCUUUAAUUCGAAGCAAUCCCUUUUGAAGUGUCCAAGUUUUCCACAGUGAUAGCAUUUUUUAUUACUUUUAUCCCUUGACUUGGACCUACCUCUUGAUUUAGAUUUGAACCUCUUAUUCAACGAAUGGUUCUCUCUUGUUUCCUUCUUAACCUUCAACUCCCUAGAUCUUAGGGCAUUUGUCACAAUUGUUUGUGUUAAGGCAUUUCUUGAAUAUUUUAUUGCAUUUCGGAUAUCGUUAUAAGAUUCGGGUAGUGAAUUUAGAAGGAUCACAGCCAGAUCUUCAUCCUCAAAUUUCUUAUCGUUAUGUGAAAGACUCUUUACAAGAAUGCUAAAGUCACUGAGAUUAGAUUCUAAGUCUUUUCCAGGAUCCAUUUUGAAGCUAAACAAUUUUUCCAACAGGUAGAUCUUAUUAGGCAGUGUUUUAGUUAAGAACAAAGUAUCUAGGGCUUCCCACAGGGCUCGAGCAGUUUUAUGUUCUUCAACUUGUCUCACUAUGUUAUCAGACAAGUGCAGUAUAAUUGAACUAUAUGCUAUUUCAUUCAUAUCUUCAAUUUCAGUAGGCUUAGCUUUCAAUUCAUCAGGAAACUUUUCAGGAUCAUCAAGGGCUUUUGCAACCCUUUGCUGGACCAAAAUGGCCCUCAUUUUCUAUUUCCAUAUAGAGUAAUCACCAUUUCCAUCGAAUUGACUUAAUUCGACUUUCGAACCCAUUGCGGGUUCUGUAAAAGGAUUGUUACUCAAGGACAUAAGUGAUUUAAUUCAAGAAAUCACUUAAGUUACAGAAAAAGUUUUUGAAUUUUUUUUUUUUUGCCGAUAAUUGACAAGUAAGCUGACCCGAAAAUAAGUAGACAAUAAUCCAAUAUAUACUGAUAAAAAACACAGUAACUAAAAACGGAUCAAUUUCAGAUUUCCAAAAAAUUUGGUAUCAAUCAAUAAGAUUCCAAAAAAAAAUGAAAUUUCCUAAAAAAGUUUUCCUAUCACAAUUAAACACAUUAUUCAGUUUCUUUAAAUGAUACAAUCACAAUAACAUGCUUGAAAUCAGAGUCAACAUUUAUAUCAGGCAAAGGACAACAGUGUUUAAUUGUUAAAGAUCUCAUCAAAAUACUGUGUAAUACAGUAUUUAAACAAUGCAAUUUCGGUUUCUGCAGAUAGGGGUUCGAAACCCUAGCUUCCAAGAAUCACUAUAUUUCACUUUCAAAUCACUGCACAAGUGAAGUAAAGAUGUUAAUACGAUAAGAGAUUAAACUGUAUCCAAAUAUACCUUUCCUCACGGCCUUGUAGGCUCUAAUACCAGAUUUGUUAGGGAAUUCGUACCCCAACACCGAAAGCACAUCGAGCACAACACAAUAUUAAAGUGCAAGAAAAUAAAAGAACACAAGAAUGGUCACCCAGUUUGGCCUAAUCUGGGGGGCUCAGGUCAGCCCAUUCCACUAGUGCAAAAAACCACCUCCCAGAGCGAGUUCAAUACAACCAAACACUUCACCUUACCCGAUUGAUCAUCGAUCUACAAGAUCUCACAAAGAAUCUGGGCUUUCUACACAACAUAUUAAUCUGACCGAAAAAUAUAUUCCUACAGCAUACAACCACACAACCGGAAUAACCUAUGGUUACUGUAGCUUACAAAAUCAACAAGAUUUUAUCAUCAAAAAUACACUUCUAUCACAGAAGGAAUUUUGAUUAGAAGAAGAAACCAAGAUGAAGAUUUCUUGAAGUUUUAGAGAGAGAGAAAAUGUGACUGAAACAAAACUCCAAAAUGCAGCCAGUGAAGUGACCCGUUUUCAGCCAAAAACGUGACUUGAAGAGUCACUUUUAAUUCAAAGUAAGAUCUCAACCAUUGGUUUAAUCCAAUGGCCCUUAUAGUUUCCAAAUAAACACAGAUCCGGGUCACGUCCAAUGCUCCAAUCAGUAGCUGCCAUUUGAAGUCUUAACAAAUUUUCGAAAAUACCCUCAAUUUAAAACACAACUUUAGAAACACGUUUUUCUCCUUUCA